rnacentral:rRNA from 1 species
UGUCGUCAGCUCGUGUCGUGAGAUGUUGGGUUAAGUCCCGCAACGAGCGCAACCCUUGUCCUUAGUUGCCAGCACGUUAUGGUGGGGACUCUAAGGAGACUGCCUGGGAUAACCAGGAGGAAGGUGGGGAUGACGUCAAGUCCGUAUGUCCCUUAUGUCCAGGGCUACACACGUGUUACAAUGGCCGGUACAGAGGGUCGCGAACCCGCGAGGGGAAGCCAAUCCCAUAAAACCGGUCCCAGUUCGGAUUGGAGUCUGCAACUCGACUCCAUGAAGCAGGAAUCGCUAGUAAUCGCGCAUCAGCACGGCGCGGUGAAUACGUUCCCGGGUCUUGUACACACCGCCCGUCACGCCAUGGAAGCCGGUAGUACUCGAAGCAGGUGGCCCAACCCUGACACUCGUGUCAGGGGGGGAGCCUACGAAGGUAAGAUUGGUAACUGGGGCGAAGUCGUAACAAGGUAGCCGUACCGGAAGGUGCGGCUGGAAUACCUCCUUUCUAGGG